rnacentral:tRNA from 1 species
GAGGGUAUAGCUCCGUGAUAGAGUGUGUGCUUAGCAUGCACAAGGUCCUGGGUUCAAUCCCCAGCACCUCCG